rnacentral:rRNA from 1 species
UGGGGAAUAUUGCACAAUGGGCGAAAGCCUGAUGCAGCAACGCCGCGUGAGGGACGACGGCCUUCGGGUUGUAAACCUCUUUAGCAAGGAAGAAGCGAAAGUGACGGUACUUGCAGAAAAAGCGCCGGCUAACUACGUGCCAGCAGCCGCGGUAAUACGUAGGGCGCAAGCGUUAUCCGGAAUUAUUGGGCGUAAAGAGCUCGUAGGCGGUUUGUCGCGUCUGCUGUGAAAACCCGAGGCUCAACCUCGGGCCUGCAGUGGGUACGGGCAGACUAGAGUGCGGUAGGGGAGAUUGGAACUCCUGGUGUAGCGGUGGAAUGCGCAGAUAUCAGGAAGAACACCGAUGGCGAAGGCAGAUCUCUGGGCCGUAACUGACGCUGAGGAGCGAAAGGGUGGGGAGCAAACAGGGCUUAGAAUGACCCUGGUAGUCCACCCCGUAAACGUGGGAACUAGUUGUGGGGUCCAUUCCACGGAUUCCGUGACGCAGCUAACGCAUUAAGUU